rnacentral:Y_RNA from 1 species
GGCUGGUCCCAAGGUAGUGAGUUAUCUCAUUUGAUUGUGCACGGUCACUUACAGAUCAAACUCCUUGUUCUACUCUCCCCCUUCUCACUUCUACACUUGACUAGUCUUCA